ensembl:lncRNA
UUUUUUUUUUUUUUUUUUUUUCUGGCACAACUAUACAGCCUGAUAAAAUAUAGGCAUAGGUAGUCAUGUUUCCUCUUUUGCUCAUGCUAAAUACAGACGAUGGUGUAGAUUAAGGCUAUAGGGUGAGCCCUGUACAGGGGCGUAUUACAGAGAGAUCAGGGAUCUUCCCUGCUGCCUCUGUGCUGGAUCAUCUGAUUCCUUCCAUGAGCCCGAGUGACUGUUGCCUCUGUGGCUUUGUUUGAAGUGAACACUCUCUUAGGCAGCUCUUGGCAAGUUAAAACGCCUGCAGAAAGCCAGGAAUACUGGUGAUUUUUCUGCGUGCAAGAACUGUGAGGAAUUAAACAGCUUUUUUAACUGCUAUGCGGUGAAGUUGUGAUUAUGUUCAGAAAUGAUAGUGUGUUGGAAUUCAGUUAUAAAACAUGCUCUUUGCUUGUUUAGUGGAUCCUUGGUGUCUGGGUUUUCCAGACAGUGGUGAUCGUCAGCAUGCUGCAUUUAUUGCAUGGAUCAGGAGUGAAAGGCACUGUUCCCUGGAAGCUGCCAUUCACAAGAUUAAGUAUGUUUGGCUUUUUUGAGUUUGUUUGUUUGCUUCCAAGAUUGCUUGUGUUAUCAACCAGGCUGGUAGCAGCUCCCACGAAGACCUCAGGAAUCCCUGACACGAAGACCUGGUGUAAGUCUGGGAAAGAAGAAAGGUAAGGAAGGAGUUCACGGAUUCUUCUAAUGGCCACUCUGCUUGGAGAAGAACCACCCAAUCCCAGAUCUGUGCCCUGAGUCCCACCACCCAUGCCGUGCCUGGAGGUCUGCAGAGUCUGAAGUUUCCAUGUUGAUACUGCAGCUUGCCCCCUCUUGUAACUUCAUGCGUGGGGAGCUGUGGGGUCUCAUUGCCUUUGGUUGCUGUGGCUGGCACUGGCUUGGCUGUGCCUUUCAUCAGAUGGCUUCAGAGGUUCUCUCCUGCACCCUGCCCUAUCCCUGUGCUUUUGACACAUUCAGGGACAAAGUUGGAGUUCCCACCAACCCCACUGAAGGCUCUGCAAUGUACUGCAUCUCCCACUUGGAUGAAUGCUCAUCGUUUUGGCUGGUGAAUGGGAAGAUUUCAAAAUGAAGGGUGAGGGCCAUCCAUACCUGGGGAAUUCAGCUGGACCCCAGGAGCAGAGAGGACUGUGGCUGCAUACCUCCAGGCUGAGAAGGAAGCUCAACACAGAUUUUGCCUUUCCCAGUGAAGUCUUCUCUCACAGACUCGUGAGAUAGGGUUGUGUAUGUGAAGAAUUACGGACUUCCAUGGGUGCUGAGCACAGCUGGCUCCAGAAUUGUCAGAGAUCAGCACCAGUUUAGAUGUCAAAGGACAAAAGGCAAAGAACUGACAUCCAUCUUCAGAUUUCCAAAAAAUAUUUUGCAAGCAACUGGCCUUCUAGAUCCUGGUGGGUCCCAGCUUCCCAGGCUCUCUCCUCAGAUCCAGCUGCUUGCUUCUAGUAAGAAGAGGAAGGCGGAAUAUCAGUGAAAUACUCCCUGAAAUAACAAGAGGUAUGGUUUGAAUGUCUGGCAUUUUAAAAUUCUAUAUACUUACUAGGUCCAUCAGCAAGGUCUGUAUUUCUUGCACCCUCUGUAAGGACAAGUGUUGCCACUCUUCCCUUAGGGCUUGUAUAUGGAACCACACAGAAUCUGUUUUUAAUUACAGUGGUGCAACUUCUAUGUUUAUAUAAAGAAAAGAGAGAAAACAAAAACAAAAACAAGCUAUCAAACAAAACCUAAUAAAACUCAUCAGAUGCAUUACAUACAUUUAACCUGUACUUGUACCAGUGCGAAGAGGACCAAGAUAAAUAAGGCUUCAAUUGAUGAUGAAUGUAUACAUAUUCAUUAAUGGUGGUGUAUCAAUUGACUUAACCUAAUGCAGCUUUAUGCAAUAUAAAAUUAUAUCUUUGGUCACCAUAGCACAACAAGAUGAAAGCAGAUAAAAAGCAGGCAAACAAAAUGCACCUCGGUUCCUCAAAAAAACUUGCUGACUUCCAACAACUUGCAACAGCACACUAGGAAGUCUACAGAGAAAACAAUGUACUGUCGUGGAUUAGAAACUAGUUAAGUAGAGACAGAGUUUAAUGGGGAUUAAUUAAUUUCCCAACUUGUAAGGAGCAAAAUAUGUGGUACUAUGAGUGGUUUUAUGACUGGUAUAGUUUUCUUCUGUUUAAAGUCAAGAUCAACUCGAGUCCUACUU